GACGAACGCUGGCGGCGUGCUUAACACAUGCAAGUCGAACGGAGAUUAUUAAUGAAGCUUGCGAUUUAAUAAUCUUAGUGGCGGACGGGUGAGUAACGCGUGGGCAACCUACCCAUAAGAGGGGGAUAACAUCCGGAAACGGGUGCUAAUACCGCAUAGUUUUCUUGAUCGCAUGAUUGAGAAGGAAGACGGCCUUUGUGCUGUCGCUUAUGGAUGGACCCGCGGCGUAUUAGUUAGUUGGUGAGGUAACGGCUCACCAAGACGAUGAUACGUAGCCGACUGAGAGGGUGAUCGG
rnacentral:rRNA from 1 species